UACGAAGGGGUCUAGCGUUGCUCGGAAUCACUGGGCGUAAAGCGCACGUAGGCGGACUCUUAAGUCGGUGGUGAAAUCCUGGAGCUCAACUCCAGAACUGCCUUCGAUACUGAGAGUCUCGAGUCCGAGAGAGGUGAGUGGAACUGCGAGUGUAGAGGUGAAAUUCGUAGAUAUUCGCAAGAACACCAGUGGCGAAGGCGGCUCACUGGCUCGGUACUGACGCUGAGGUGCGAAAGCGUGGGGAGCAAACAGG
rnacentral:rRNA from 1 species